ACUCCUACGGGAGGCAGCAGUGGGGAAUAUUGCACAAUGGGCGCAAGCCUGAUGCAGCAACGCCGCGUGAGCGAAGAAGGUCUUCGGAUCGUAAAGCUUCUUUUCUUAGGGAAGAAACUGACGGUACCUAAGGAAUAAGCACCGGCUAAAUACGUGCCAGCAGCCGCGGUAAUACGUAUGGUGCAAGCGUUAUCCGGAAUCACUGGGCGUAAAGGGUGCGUAGGCGGUUUUGCAAGUCAGAAGUGAAAGGCUACGGCUCAACCGUAGUAAGCUUUUGAAACUGCAAGACUAGAGUGCAGGAGAGGAAAGUGGAAUUCCUAGUGUAGAGGUGAAAUUCGUAGAUAUUAGGAGGAACACCAGUGGCGAAGGCGACUUUCUGGACUGUAACUGACGCUGAUGCACGAAAGCGUGGGGAGCGAACAGGAUUAGAUACCCUGGUAGCACAGAG
rnacentral:rRNA from 1 species